GUGAUGUAAAAACUGCUUUUUGUAUUUACUUGAGUUAUUUUUAAAGUUUAUUUGAUCUGAAAUAUAUCAGGGUACAUUUCCACCUUUAACCUUUCACUUUCUGAUCUUAGGAAUCUGAAUUUUUCCUUGAAAUCACUUGAUAAAUGGAGGGAAAUGAUUGGAAAUGGAGUAUUUCUUACUUCUCCUUAAUAAGCAGCAUCUGUUUCCUGACUGUAACUUUAGUCCGUCUGAAUCCGGAUGUUUCCGGGUUUCCCAACUCAUUUCAGUCAGGCACUUCAUGGUCUUUGAUCUUAUUUUUUAUUUUUCUCCGAAAACAAAAAGGUGCCUGCAGAUUGAAACGUGCCACAUAUCAUCAAACAAGCAGAACUUAAGAACAGAGGUUACAUAAACAAAAGGUUAUUAUCUGUAUAGAGUCAGCAGAAGGUCAGGCCCAGAUUACAGUUCAUACAUCAGUUUUUGUGAACAUGUUUUCACUCAACCGUUUUUUGAUCUUUGCUCUUUCUCAUUUGACAUUUAAUUUUUUGCUGCUGGCUGAAAUCAUCUCAACUGUAAGUAAAGCUCAGAGUGAUAAAGACGGAGUCUAAUUGCGGCGCUCGCAUGUUUAUCACCACCGGUAAACUAAUCACCCGUAAAAACUCCCCAGAGAUGAUUUUACAAUCAUGCCCAACAGAUCUGUUUUCCCCGCUCUGCCGCAGGGAAGCCGGUUAAAGACGAUUCAUUCAUCAAGAGGCCAAAAUGGAGGUGAAACGUUCUCCAACGAGGCUCCAUCAUCCUCUGCUCCACUUCUCCUGGAGCAGGAGGAGACUCAAAGCGAAGGCGGUCAGAGCUCGCCGGAUUAAAACGACUCCCUCCUGAACCUCCAGUUCCUCCCCACGCACGGCUCCAGGCAGAAGGGAAAGCCGCCUCAUUGCUAUUCAGUCUAUUUUUACCUCCGCUCCUCCGCCCUGUCUCUACUGUAGCUCUUCCUUCUGCUGAUUCCCGGGAACAGAGUUACAGAAAUCCAGAAAGAGUCGGAUGCUUUUCAACAUUUCCUCUCCCCCACUGACGGUGGGCGGUGUGACUGAUGGGAGGGAAAACCCACCAGAACGCUUUCAGCAGAAAGAUCAAGAGCUGAGUUUCAAUAAAAACCUGCAUUAAUGUACAAAAUUAAAGGAGGAAAAACAGAAUACAGAGAUAAAUAAACAUUCACAGCCCAGGCCUGCAAUGAGACGUUAAUUAAUAUGUAAUAAAUCAAUAAUAUUCUGUAAUAAUAUGUAUCAAGGUUACAGGUUUGAGCUGUUUAUAUGACAGGAUAUAUAUAUUUGCACAUUUAUAUUAACCAUAAAUUUAAAUGUAAUUUAUUUUGAAAAACCAACACCAGGCUCCUUCCUUCCUGUCUGGCUGCCAGGCUGCUGUGCGCUGCAGGAACCGGCGGCAGUUCGAGGAAGAGAAAGCGACAGAAAGAGCUCAGCGAUCAGCAGGUCAGAUGUCGGCUCCAGUGAAUGAAACCCCCUGCCGGUGAGCGCAGAGCGGUUCUGUGGGUCAUUCAGAACCGGACCCCUGCAGACUGGUUCUGUGCCUCGUUCAGCCCAGUCUGAGGCCGUGAGUGAAGCUGGGCCUCGUUGGGCCAAUCAGCAGAGGAACAGACUGUACCGAUGCAGUCAUCUGGAGCAGCGCCGCGGAGCCGUGAGGAAGGGCAGAAAUGAACGCAGCUGGUGGAGGUAUUGACCCGAGGAGCCUCUCUACUGCCGACUGUUACAAAGCUGAGCCUGAAUGAAUAACGACAUAUUGAUCAGAACUGAAGAGAACGGAGGAGAAUCCGCCGACCUGAGCCAGGUGACAGCGCGGCUGAUUGAAGAUGAUGUGUUUACUGACAUGGGCCAUGGGUCAGCACCGCCACCGAGGACGGAUGACACCAGAACACGGCCGGCCGCUCCUGGUUCUGAGUCCAUUAACUGCAGAACAAGGCUCUUCAUGCUGGUGUUCACUGAGACACCGUAGAAAACAGA